UCCGGGGUAGUGUAACAGGCAGCACGCCGUCCUUUGAAGUCGGUUAUUAGUCAGGGUUCGAAUCCCUGCCCCGGAG
rnacentral:tRNA from 1 species